GAGCACGCUGGCCAGGCGUGGGGCGUGGCGGAUGUCGCUGUGGGUGAUGUGGUGGAAGGUGACCGAUUCGGCGUUCAGCUCGCCGGUGGGCUUG
rnacentral:tRNA from 2 species